rnacentral:rRNA from 1 species
UACGAAGGGUGCAAGCGUUAAUCGGAAUUACUGGGCGUAAAGCGUGCGUAGGUGGUUGUUUAAGUCUGUUGUGAAAGCCCUGGGCUCAACCUGGGAAUUGCAGUGGAUACUGGGCGACUAGAGUGUGGUAGAGGGUAGUGGAAUUCCCGGUGUAGCAGUGAAAUGCGUAGAGAUCGGGAGGAACAUCCAUGGCGAAGGCAGCUACCUGGACCAACACUGACACUGAGGCACGAAAGCGUGGGGAGCAAACAGG